AUUGAACGCUGGCGGCAGGCCUAACACAUGCAAGUCGAGCGCGAAAGUUCUUCGGAAUGAGUAAAGCGGCGGACGGGUGAGUAAUACAUGGGAAUCUGCCUGGUAGUGGGGGACAACGUUUCGAAAGGAACGCUAAUACCGCAUACGCCCUACGGGGAAAGGGGGGAUCGCAAGACCUCCCGCUAUCAGAUGAGCCCAUG
rnacentral:rRNA from 1 species